AAAAAAAUUAUAUCUAAAAAAAUAAUUCAGCUCACGAAAAACCUCUACAAAAACAUUAUAACAUUUCUAAUAUUCUUUAAUUAUUAAUCAAAAAUAAAAUGAUAUCUACGAGAGAAGAAGAUGUCGAGACGCCAGCGAGGAAGACCGUCGAGACUGCCACCGGCGAGGAAGAGACAACCCUACCGCCGUGUUAUCAUCCGCCAGAAGGGGAGGCAUUGACACAAUUUGCUGUCUCAUUGAGUCGCAAGGAGUGAUCCAAGGAAGAGAGUGAAAAUCUUGCGAAAGGAGUGAAACAAUAAUUUCAAGAGACGUUGCUUCAAAGCUCGGGCAAUCUACUAAGUUACAUUUCUCCCUGCAGUUGCUAUGUUAAUGAGGCAACUCUUCUUUCUGGUUAGAUUCCUUCUGAUUCAGCAGUUGUAUGCACAUAUCCAUGCUCUCAUGGGAAUGAAACAAGCAACAGCACCAACGCUCUAAUACUGGCCAACUUUUGUAUAGACCUUGUGCACUGAUUUUCCGUUUUCUCCUCUAUGUAUUGAAUGACGCUAAUAUGUAUAAAAAAAUAUCUCUCCGUCAAACCAAUAAAAUUUAGGUUGAUUGACUUAUCAUGGUAUUCAAAAUAGAUGACUUCCCCUUAUUUGCGUGGACUAGAAUCUGUAAUUCCAACCUAUUCAUAAUUGUUGUUAUCCAACAUCUAUACAAAGUUCAUAUAAAUGUUUUCAAUAUCAAUAAAAUACUUCUCCAUCAGUUCCUUUCUCAAAAAUACUUAGUUACCCGUUUAAAAAAAGAACAUUUCUAUAAGGUAAGUGUAAUUCUAUUCCAUUCUUUCACCCAAGUGUUCCAAUUCCAAUUUCCUUUUGUACUUACAAUUUUGUGAUGAUAAAAUAGAAGAGGCCACUCUAGUUGAAUUGGCUGGGUAAAAUGAUAUAACAGAGAUUCCUUAUAUAGGACUUUUGAUUUUCAUAAACUUUGUAAGCUCCUUAGUUCACGGGCUUUCUGAUUAUGAUCUGUUGAGAAUUCUUUUUUGGUUAGUUGACAUGGACAUUUAUGUUGAACAACCUUAACACAAUUUCUAACUUUUCCACUGUUUGAACCAAAUCCUGGGGCAUAAAAAGAUCAUUAUUCCUGCUCUAAGCUUUUAUACAACAGCUGAAGCAACUAGUGAUCAUCGUCAUAAGGUUCAUUUGAAACUGGUGGAGGAGAGAGUUCCAAAACAGAAUAUCCAUUGGCUUGAAACUCAGCCAGAAAAGAUAAAUCAAGUUGUUGUCCACACAAGACAUUUCCACUCAAGUCCAAUUUCUCCAGUUUACCUAACCAAAUAGCAAAGAGAAAGGUUAAUGAAUUCGAAAAUUAAGUGACACUGAAGGCACAUAAUGAUGCUUUUGACGAGCAUUUAAUAUAUAUUUAUGAAAAACAAUAUGUUACUAUAGUACUUCUCUUGAGGUAGUGGUAUGGUCUGCGUACACUCUAUCCUCCCCAGACCCCACUAGGUGGGAAUACACUGGUAGGUUGUUGUUGUUGUUGUUGUAGUACAUUGUAUUAAUUUCUAUGUGUACAGUAUAACUUUUCGAUCAUCUUUCACUGUAUGUGGCCACGUCACUGGGUUCAAAAGCAAUGUGCAGUAGGCACAUUUCCAGAAUUUCUAAUUAUGUUGUGAAUUGUGUUUGGUAUUUAAGUGGAGAAAGGCAGUCAGAAAUGGUGCGUUGUGGUCUUCUCUCUCAUGUUUGUUUGUGUAAAGGCUUAGAGCCUUUUUUGCUAGGUCCAAAAGCUUCUGAAACGUUAUGAUCCAACAAAAAUCUCAUAAAACGAUAUGAUCUAUCCCGUUCACUGUUAAAUUUUGAUCGACGACCAACCUGGGUAGUUUUUAGUGAAAUACUUACUGCAGCUAAUGAUUGAUGAAACAUACUCAGUUUUUAAGUUUGUGUUGUGAUUUUGGGGAUCAUUUCAAGCUCUUCUUCAACACUGAAUCUGCGGUGCUCAAAAGACGAGGAAAAACUAUUACUAAGUUGGAUAACUCACUGAAGGCUGUGGAAAGCUAUGGCAAAUUAGCAGUACCAACAAGUGGUAUUUUUUCAUUUGGUGCUCCAUGCAGCACUUCAAGUAAUGGACUGUUUGCUACCAGUCCUUCUUUCUCAGCCACCUCUGCCUUGACAUCUGGUAAUUUUAAAAAUGACAUUUCGAAUAGCAGCUCAAAUGUUGUUUCUCCUAUGACAAGCAUUUCAAGUACGAUCGGUGCUACAAAAGGAAGCUCUACCACCUAUGCUAACAGUCUCUUUGGUUCCAGUGUAGUAUCCUUAGUUCCCAAGGAACCUCCUGCCAAAUUUGGUUUCUCCACGGUUUCAGCAAAAGCAGAUUCAGCACCAGCAACAACUUCCACUGCAGAAACUACAGAUGUGAAAGCCAAAUCUGAGACUGGAACUACUUUUGGCAACUUGAAGUGAUCACCUUUUUGUGGCUCUAUAAAUAGUAUUUUUGGUAUUAGUUCAUCAGUAAUGUCAACAGUUACUACAACUAGUGCACAGUAUGUCCAUUUACUCCUUUGUUAAUCGAAUUGCCUUCCGUAUGGCUUUCCGAGGUUGCUAUUGUAGAAUCUUCUUUGAGGUCCCAACUUGCUGAUGUGCUAAUCACAUAUAAGAAACUGUUGCUGAGAAUGCUAUUUACACUACAACAUUUUUGGCCUAAUCCGAGGAGAUUGAAAUUUCUAUGCAAAAACUCUCAUUGUCCAUAAUGAAAUUGGACAAGGUAUGAACAAAUUCAAAAAAUCAUUGUUAACUUAUUUAAUUACUCUCGCUUGUUCUUUUAAUCCUCCUAUUCUUUAGCUUUCUCUAUGCUAUUAUACCUUCUUCUCAUUGCCUGACAUUCCUGAUGCUAAAAAGGUUUGCUAACCACAAUGGAAUCUUUUUAUAUAUCUGCCUCUUGGGUUUUAAUAUUUUUUUCUGCAUGGCCUUAACUUUUUCUUAUGCAGUCUAGAUUAAUGAUGGAAGUCAACUAUAUGCUGUCUUACGGAGCUGCAGAGCCUUCUCUUUCUUUACUUCAGAGAUACAACAUCCUUGGAAUGCUGCUACCAUUUCAUGUAUGUCAUAUUGUUUCAUUUCAUUUUGGUAUGAUGUGAGUUUCAUGAUUUUUUGGUUCAGGACAGUAGGUUAUACUCGAGUAAAUUUGUCAUUUACAGGCGGCACACCUUGCUCAACAGUCUAACAAACAGUUGAGUGAAAGUUUUGUUAUGCUGAUGGUAUAUCUUCCUGCCUUGUAUUGGUUUUUACUCCAUAAAUUUGUACAAUUCCUUCUAAUGCUUCCUCACUUAUUUGAUGUCAUCUCUUCCGAUUUUGUCUACAUAUUUUCUCUAGACGACUUGCUUCUGUGCAUCCUCCUGAAAUCUAGCUUUCGCCUCCUCCCACACACACAUAUAUAUAAAUGAGCAUAUGCACACACUUAUGUCUGACAUAUUUAUCUUUUCACCUCAUCCAUGUUUUCUUGAGUCUUCAAUAGGCUUUCACGCAUUAAAUUUAUUGGUCUGAACAUUUUGCGAAAACUAUUUUCCAGUUUGGAUCAGUUAGUCACCUGUGGCCGACCUUCUCAUGAUAGUUUGUGGGUUGCACUCUUGGCAUUUCAUCUAGCACUAAUAGCUAAUCCGCAAGAGGCAUAUGUCGUCUUGACCAUUGCUGAAAGAAAAGCAUCAAAUGUAUCUGUGAAAUGUCCUAAUAUUUAAGUUGGGAUCUAAACAGAUAUGCCAUUAGACUUUUUGGACUUAUCUUCACCUGAUGCGAGUAAUGCACAAGCUGUAAAAGGGAAAAAUUCUUUCAAAUUCUUUCGGCUCAGCUCAUGCUUUGGUUCAUGAAAAGGAUUAAUUUGGGGAUCAAAUUUGAAUGGUGGGCAGGACAACUCAACUUGAUCUAGAUUGAAGUGAAUGAUGUAGAAUUUUUGAAAUAUUUUGAUGUACGUUUAUAUACAUUUGGUUUUGUGUGGAACCUGGUACAAUUUUUUAUUAUGUUUUCUAAUUAGUAUGUAAAAAAUAUGUUUUUUCGAAAUCAAAUCUAUGCACUUCACUUA